rnacentral:scRNA from 1 species
GCAAUGGUGGACGAGCUCGGUAUAGGUAACCA